AGCAGCCGCGGUAAUUCCAGCUCCAAUAGCGUAUAUUAAAGUUGUUGCAGUUAAAAGCUCGUAGUUGAAUUUCGGGACCAAUCUGCCGGUCGUGCCUCCGGUACGCACUGGUUUUAUUGGUUUCUCCCUUCUGACGAACCAUGAUGUCAUUAAUUUGGUGUCAUGGGGAAUCAGGACUGUUACUUUGAAAAAUUAGAGUGUUUAUAGCAGGCUCACGCUUGAAUACAUUAGCAUGGAAUAAUGAAAUAGGACGUUUGACUCUAUUUUGUUGGUUUCUAGGAUCGACGUAAUGAUUAAUAGGGAUAGUUGGGGGCAUUAGUAUUCAAUUGUCAGAGGUGAAAUUCUUGGAUUUAUUGAAGACUAACUACUGCGAAAGCAUUUGCCAAGGAUGUUUUCAUUAAUCAAGAACGAAAGUUAGGGGAUCGAAGACGAUCAGAUACCGUCGUAGUCUUAACCAUAAACUAUGCCGACUAGGGAUCGGAUGAUGUUAAUUUUUUAAUGACUCAUUCGGCGCCUUACG
rnacentral:rRNA from 1 species